GCCAUGAGUCACCAGCCAUCUUGCCAUAUGGACAUAAUUUUCUGAAUAUCUUAUAUAUUUUCAAGACUUUAUGACAACAGUAUCUUAUUGUAGAAUAAAAUAUAAGAUUUAAAAAGAAAAUGUUUUCCCCAUUAAAUAUGCUAGAAAUAACUUUUAACAGAAUUUUUAAUGAAGCAGGAGCUUCAUACAGAAUCCAAUGGAGGAACUGGAAAAUCAUCAUGAAAGAGGAAUCAAUAGAGGACAAGAUUCAUAUUUUCUUUCCCAAAGUAUAAUGCAGGCCUUCCUUCUGAAGAAAGAGGAAGAUAAAUAGAUCGUGGAGGAAUACAUAAGAGUCUUCUUUAUAUGUAAGUUAUUUUUACUUAAAAUGACAAAAAAC
rnacentral:lncRNA from 1 species